rfam:Dipodomys ordii contig_23119, whole genome shotgun sequence.
GGUGGCUCAGUGGUAGAGUGCUUGCCUUGCAUGCAUGAGGCCCUGGGUUCAAUUCCUCAGCACCA